CAGCAGCCGCGGGAAUACGGAGGGUGCAAGCGUUAAUCGGAAUUACUGGGCGUAAAGCGCACGCAGGCGGUUUGUUAAGUCAGACGUGAAAUCCCCGAGCUUAACUUGGGAACUGCAUUUGAAACUGGCAAGCUAGAGUCUUGUAGAGGGGGGUAGAAUUCCAGGUGUAGCGGUGAAAUGCGUAGAGAUCUGGAGGAAUACCGGUGGCGAAGGCGGCCCCCUGGACAAAGACUGACGCUCAGGUGCGAAAGCGUGGGGAGCAAACAGGAUUAGAUACCCCAGUAGUCCCUGUCUCUUAUAC
rnacentral:rRNA from 1 species